CACAAUGAACAUUCUGAAUAUAACUAACUUCCUUCCUUCCUGCCUUCCUCCCUCCCUGCCUUCCCUUCCUUCCUGCCUUCCUUCUUCCUUCCUCCCUUUUUUCUUUUCUCCCUUCCUUCCUUCUUAAUAUGUUUUUGGCCUUUUCUUUAUAUAUGUGGCCUAGCAAUAUCCUGUGUUUGGAAAAGUAUAAACCUAAGGCAUCACCUUUACAGAAAAUAUCUUCCACGGAAACAUCUAAAGGCAAAAAUCCUUCAAAUUCAAAUUUAUCCAAUCAUUUCUUCUGCUUACUACCAUCCUAAAUCAUUUUUCUUUAGUAAGAUCUAUUAGUGUGAAGCUAUUAAGCUAUUAAUGUAUGUAUCAUAUUAAUGUAUUAAGACAUUAAGUUCCCUAAGGCAGCCUUCAAAUGGUGAUGUUUCUUAUAAUCCAGAGUUCAGAAGUGGCUUCUCUUCAAUCUUUCUGUGGAAUUCUAAACCACGUGAUAAAGGAGCUGGUGGCCACAGAUCAGCCCUGGGGUUCAGAGGGAUCCUGACAGCUACUCCUCAAGAUCCUCUCUGUUGUGAUUCAUCCCCCCGGGGCCCUACAGUUUCUCCUUCCUGACUCUUACAUUUCUUUGGAUGGCAUCAUUAUU
rnacentral:lncRNA from 10 species